rnacentral:rRNA from 1 species
AUUGAACGCUGGCGGUAGGCCUAACACAUGCAAGUCGAACGCGAAAGUCCUUCGGGAUGAGUAGAGUGGCGGACGGGUGAGUAACGCGUAGGAAUCUAUCCUGUAGUGGGGGAUAACGUUUCGAAAGGAACGCUAAUACCGCAUACGCCCCACGGGGGAAAGCGGGGGAUCUUCGGACCUCGUGCUAUAGGAGGAGCCUGCGUCGGAUUAGCUAGUUGGUGAGGUAAAGGCUCACCAAGGCGACGAUCCGUAGCUGGUCUGAGAGGAUGAUCAGCCACACCGGAACUGAGACACGGUCCGGACUCCUACGGGAGGCAGCAGUGGGGAAUAUUGCGCAAUGGGCGAAAGCCUGACGCAGCCAUACCGCGUGUGUGAAGAAGGCCUUCGGGUUGUAAAGCACUUUCAGUGGGGAGGAAAAGCGGGUGGCUAAUAUCCAUCGGCCGUGACGCUACCCACAGAAGAAGCACCGGCUAAUUCCGUG